UGGGGAAUAUUGCACAAUGGGCGAAAGCCUGAUGCAGCGACGCCGCGUGAGGGAUGACGGCCUUCGGGUUGUAAACCUCUUUCAGUAGGGACGAAGCGCAAGUGACGGUACCUGCAGAAGAAGCACCUGCUAACUACGUGCCAGCAGCCGCGGUAAUACGUAGGGUGCGAGCGUUGUCCGGAAUUACUGGGCGUAAAGAGCUCGUAGGCGGUUUGUCACGUCGUCUGUGAAAUCCUAGGGCUUAACCCUGGACGUGCAGGCGAUACGGGCUGACUUGAGUACUACAGGGGAGACUGGAAUUUCUGGUGUAGCGGUGGAAUGCACAGAUAUCAGGAAGAACACCGAUGGCGAAGGCAGGUCUCUGGGUAGUAACUGACGCUGAGGAGCGAAAGCAUGGGUAGCGAACAGG
rnacentral:rRNA from 1 species